rnacentral:rRNA from 1 species
UUGAAAGGGAAACGAUUGAAGUCAGUCGUACCGGUGGGUAAUCAGCCUUUCGGCGUGAUUAUGUGGAGCGUGAGGAGUUAAACGCCCUCAUGCCUGCAUAUUCGUGUUCUUUGGGUGUACUUACCCGCAUGGUAGGUUAACAUCAAUUUCGAACGUCAUAAAAUGAUUGGAGGAAUGUAGCUUCGAUCUCGUAUUGAAGUGUUAUAGCCUUCGGUAGAUGUGAUGAUUGGGAUUGAGGAUUGCAACGGAUACCCUUCGGGGCUACCUGUCUGAUCUCUGAAAGUUGCUCUGGUGCUGAAAGCUUGCUUAUGGUAUCAAAGUUGACGUUCAACAGGUUAGAACGGGAUAAAUUCGUUAAGGAUGUUGACGUA